ACGCCGCGCCAAUCGGCCAAUCAGUGAUUGAGAUCUCAUGCUUUGCGGGAAGCACCCCUCUGCAGUCAACGCGUCUCCGCCAUCAUCACUCGUUCACUGACAGCCGCCGCUUUCGGUCCGUGGACAGGUUCGCGCGUGAAGUCGGUUCCCAGUUUUCAUGGCUUCAUUUCUCAUAAUUUCGGGCAAUCUAACGCUAAAAUCGUUUUGUCGUGUUAAGCAUAUCGUGAUGUGUGUUUUGCAAAAGUCUCUCGGUGUGUGAAAACGAUCGUGCAUUGUGUUUGGUCUCUUAAAUCGGAUGGUAAAAGCCGUUCUCCAUCUUGACGAAAUUGAAACUCCGGUCUCUUGUCGAGUCGUGUUCGUGUGCCCUGCGUUUGAGUGAAUCGAAUGAUACAUCUCCAAAAUUUCAAUCGAUUCUCGUUGUUCAAUCAGUGCGUAGUUUUCGAUAACUUUUCGCGGAAUUCGGUUUUAUAUUCCAUGUGAUCACCUGUUGGAUCGUGAGUGUAAAUCGUUUGCAAGCGCGAGGUUGCAAUGGCGACCACCCAAGUUUCGAACUUUCUCAUUUCCCUUCGUUCCAUGCAAGUACUUUUUGUGUGUUAUUCGUUGUGUUGGUUCUGAAAGGAGGGACAAUCCUUUUUCUUUCCAGACAUGAACAUGAUUUCUCGGCUUCGUGAUCGUAUUAUUUACGCGCAAUUUGAUCGAGUUUUGCCGUCAUCGAAAAGAAAAUGUCGGAUGUCAGUUCUGUUGUCUUGGUCACAACCUUUUUGAUGCUGGUCUUCAUGGCUUUGGUCCUAGAUUGUCAGUGCGGUUUCAGUGAUGGUGUUGCAAGUGCUUUCAGCUUGGCGUCGGGCAAUUGGAUAACUCUUUCCUGGUACGUAUCUCAUAGUUUUUUCAUUCAUAUGUUUAAAUUUUAUCCAUUGAGCCCCUGCAUUGCCAUGCCAAGGAAAAACGCCGCAUGUACCUUCACCUGAUGCCAAAUUUCCAAAUUUUCGGGCCAAUUUGCUA
rnacentral:lncRNA from 1 species